UUCACUACACAAGUCUUGUAAUAUUUGAGAACUUCUCUCUUUUUUUCUUGAGAGUGAACCCAAAACUAGACAACAAAGUGUAGUAACAAUUUUGUGGUUCUUUGUCUAGAAACUUGGGGUCUUGAGGGUCAUGAGUUCCUCUUGAUUCAAGUAAAAAUUUGGUGUAAAUAUCUUUUAGUCUUAGGGUCCUAAUCUUCAUGUUAGGGUUCUUAGAUUUUAGGAUAUUUUGUGUCAAAUUACUAUCCAUCAUUUUGUAAUCUUGUUGUUUGUAUCUUGAUAUAGUGAAGCUGUGUAGGGCUCUUUCGAUUCACUAUAGUUAUUGCAAUCUUGUGUUAUUUAUCUAUCUUGUUGAAAAUUGUUGUUGUUGGCUUGAAAACCUAGAGAAGCCGAGUGGGGCCUUUGAUUCUCUAGUGAUGUUGUUCUUGUUGUUCUCUUGAUUUCUUGUUGUAAGUUUGAACUUGUAUCAAAGUCCUAUUGCCAUUUUUUUCUUCAUAUCAAAAUUUACCGAUUAUUAUCUCAACACAAAUUUCUACCCUUACACAGUUUAUUUUAUUUAAUUAGUCUUCGACAAACUCUCUGGCAAAAAUUUCUUCCCGAGAUUCUUGCAUCUCAGACUUUUGCAAAAGAAUUCAGGAAAGGAAAUUUCCAAGAAGGACGGCUUGGCAAUCUUCGUCGCUAUGCCACCAGCUACUUUCCAACGACCCAACAGAUUUUGGUGAGCGGGGUACUACAAGUCCAGAUCCGGCACUGCAGGCAUCGACAUCAAGAUUCCAGCGAUCAUCUCAUUUUUCGGCGACCAACACAUUCUCCAGCAACUAGUUAUAGGCAUGUAAAACUAGCAGUAGAGUAAUAACGAUGGCAACAAAUUCCAGUGACCAAUUUUUACAUCAAUUUGUCUGAAUUCGACAACACAAUCAAGAAAACAGCCUCCAGUGCAUCUUUUCUCAGUAUCAGGAGCACUCGUUUUAGUCUUCUCUA